AUUGAACGCUGGCGGCAGGCCUAACACAUGCAAGUCGAGCGGAUGAAGGGAGCUUGCUCCUGGAUUCAGCGGCGGACGGGUGAGUAAUGCCUAGGAAUCUGCCUGGUAGUGGGGGAUAACGUCCGGAAACGGGCGCUAAUACCGCAUACGUCCUGAGGGAGAAAGUGGGGGAUCUUCGGACCUCACGCUAUCAGAUGAGCCUAGGUCGGAUUAGCUAGUUGGUGGGGUAAAGGCCUACCAAGGCGACGAUCCGUAACUGGUCUGAGAGGAUGAUCAGUCACACUGGAACUGAGACACGGUCCAGACUCCUACGGGAGGCAGCAGUGGGGAAUAUGGGACAAUGGGCGAAAGCCUGAUCCAGCCAGGCCGCGUGUGUGAAGAAGGUCUUCGGAUUGUAAAGCACUUUAAGUUGGGAGGAAGGGCAGUAAGUUAAUACCUUGCUGUUUUGACGUUACCAACAGAAUAAGCACCGGCUAACUUCGUG
rnacentral:rRNA from 1 species